UGUAAUAUUUAACCUAAGACAGUAGGAGUUCGUUUUUGGAACUUAAAAGGCUAUCCUACCGAGGCUUAAAUUGACUUGAACGUAUAAAUUUCAAGCACUUUUUGCCGUGGGUAAAAAGUGCUUUUUUGUUGA
rnacentral:sRNA from 1 species